rnacentral:tRNA from 2 species
CCCGCUGUAGCACAAUGGAUAGUGCAAUCGCCUCCUAAGCGAUAGAUCCAGGUUCGACUCCUGGCAGGGGGACCA